AUGCCGAGUUUCGACCACGCCGCAACAUCCCAGAUGGGUGUUCUUCAAGUGCAAAAAGAUGGGGAUGGAUGCAAGUUUUGGUAUUGGGAAGAAGGGUGCAUUGAUCUAUUGAUAGCAAUAAAUUUGCUAGAUGUUCGUACACUAUUUGCUAGAGUUGAGACAGGAGAUGAGUAUAGAGAUGACACAAUGUCCAAUUGUAUGGAGGCGGGGAAGAACGAAGUGUGCAAGCUCAAGAAGCCGAUAGAGAACUGCAACAAUGUGUGCAACGAAGACAUAGAGAAAAUAUUAAUCCAAUUAGUGGGACCAAUUAUGGAAGUUGGAUCUCUAUUAAAGUGUCCAAUUGUGGUUCUGGUUUUCUUUAGAUCGAGAGAGAAUCAAGGUAAUAGAAAAUUUACCUUACGGCCAAGAUGUAAGAGGAAUGCAAACUUUUAUGGGGCAUGCUAG
rnacentral:rRNA from 1 species